rnacentral:rRNA from 1 species
UACGUAGGGACCAAGCGUUGUUCGGAUUUACUGGGCGUAAAGGGCGCGUAGGCGGCAUGACAAGUCACUUGUGAAAUCUCCGGGCUUAACUCGGAACGGCCAAGUGAUACUGUCUCGCUAGAGUGCGGAAGGGGCAAUCAGAAUUCUUGGUGUAGCGGUGAAAUGCGUAGAUAUCAAGAGGAAUACCUGAGGUGAAGACGGGUUGCUAGGCCGACAAUGAAGGUGAGUGCGCGAAAGCGUGGGGAGCGAACAGG